AAUCAUUGUAUUAAUAUCUCACAGGCCCUGUUGCUGAAGACAUGUUCCAUUGGCAAGCAACAAUUAUGGGUCCUCCUGACAGUCCUUAUGCAGGUGGUGUCUUUCUUGUUACUAUACAUUUUCCUCCAGAUUAUCCUUUCAAGCCACCUAAGGUACAACUUAUGUUCCUAUUUGAAGAAGUACAAAUUAUAUGAAGCUUAGCUAUUUGCUUCUGGUUUCAGAGUAUGCUUAAUUUGUAAGAUGUAAACUAUGUGUUUGUACAUAACUCUUUCAGUUCUUGAGUGUGCUGUCUAGUCAUAUUUUCAUUUCCUUUCUACAUAACUCCUCUAGCACUUGUUAUUGAGGCAUUAAAUAAAAGCAAGUGAUUGCGAAAUACUAAAACUUUGCAAAACACAUAUUAUAUUUAUAUAUUACUUCAAUCACAUGUGCCCAGCACGCUCAUUAUGAAGGUUAUGCAAAUUAAAAGGAUUGAUAGGUGCUUAAUAUUACAGAGCUUAGAAUAUAUGUGCACUCAGUCCCUUAUUUCUCUAAUUUUAUCAUCAAGUUAUUAAAACUGGUACUCUUCCAAUAUGAAAUUAGAAAUUAAACCGGAAAAUGUCUGUUCCAUUUAUACUUAUUGAUGUUUCUUAUAUCGGUAGUCAUUAAGUAAUUUCAUAUUGAAUUCUCCGCUCAAACAACAUACUUAUAUCUUCCGGUGUUUCACCUAUAAUACAUUUUUGUUACUAAUUUACUAUAUGUUUUCUCAGUUUUUAUUUGUGAGUUGUUUGACUUGAUCAUUUCAUUGCUACUGUUCUAGAUAUUUAGGUUGUGUUCAUUUGGAUGGAAUGAAAUGAGAGGAGAAUGGAAUGAAUAAUUAUACGGAGAAGAAGAAAGUAUGAGAUAAUAAUAACUAAAUAUGAAUGGUUUAAAUUUCUUGUGAUAAAGAUUGUAAGGAAACAUGAUGUAGAAAUAGAAUGAGCAUUCCUUCCAAAACAUGUGGGUUAGAAUUCUAGUUAAAAUAGUAGCAAUGGAAUGAUGGAAUGAAUGAAAAUUAUAGACACUUUCUCUAAUCAACACCAUGUUAGAUUACAAAAUUCAUUCCAUUCUUCCUCCAUUCCAUUCCAUCCAAGUGAACACAACUUAUGUUGUGUUUGGUUGGGGUGAAUGGAAUGGAAUGGAAUGAAAUGAGUACAAAUAAAAAAUAAUAAUAGAGUGUAGAAGAGAGGACUUUGGAAAAAAUGAGUGAGUGCAAAUUUUGUAUGAUAAGAUUUGAAUAGAAAAUAUGUAUGAUAAGGAAUGGAGCAUUCCUUCACAAAAUGAAGGAUUUGAGCUCUAGUUAAAGGUGAUAAGAAUGGAAUGGUGGAAGGAAUGAAAUUACUGUUGUGUUUGGUUGGGGUGAAUGGAAUGGAAUGGAAUGAAAUGAGUACAAAUAAAAAAUAAUAAUAGAGUGUAGAAGAGAGGACUUUGGAAAAAAUGAGUGAGUGCAAAUUUUGUAUGAUAAGAUUUGAAUAGAAAAUAUGUAUGAUAAGGAAUGGAGCAUUCCUUCACAAAAUGAAGGAUUUGAGCUCUAGUUAAAGGUGAUAAGAAUGGAAUGGUGGAAGGAAUGAAAUUACUAUACAUUCAACUAAAUUAUAGUUCAAAUCUCAUUCCAUUCCUUCCAUUUUCAUUCACCCCAACCAAACACACCAUUAGUGUUAAAUUUGAUUCAUUUGUGUUGGUUUGGAUAAGGUUACAAUGUUAAAUUGAACCUAUUCAAGAGAUUGGACAAUUAACCAGAGAGAACUUGGUUGGAUAAUCAAAAGUCAAAAUGAAUUCUAUGUUAGCAAUGGUGCAUCCUGUACAAGUGUGCACGAGGGUUAAUUCAGUUUUGUUGGAUUGAAUAAGGCUACAAUUUUAAACUGAACCUAUUUGAGUGAUUGACCCACUCAUUAACAUAUUUAAGAACACUAAUCUGUAAUCUGCUAGAUAUAUAAUGUAUACCUUGUUGGUGAUGCUUUCAAAGGGACAAUAUUGUCUUAACUUUUUUUUCUGGCGUCUAAUUUUUUCAAGUCUCUAUAAGUUCUUUGAACCAUAAGAUAGAUAUAUUCACCUGCAAACUAGAACUCUGUAUAUUUCCAUAGGUCAUUUGUCCAUUUUAGGUAAUAAGAAUUUACUUUUAACUACUAUUUGAUUUUGCGCUCGUCAGUUUUAUUGGUAAUAUGGGUUGUGGCCAUGCUUUGACAUUUUAUAGUUGGGAAAAUUUUACACAUAUACUCUUUACUUUUAGUGUUGGCUUAAACUUAAAAUAAGCAAGAUGGUUGAAAUGAAGUAGGUUCGCAAUAGAAAGACAUCUGGACUUUAUCUAUGUGGACGUUAUAUGCAAUUCUCACAUCUUCAAAGAUGUAUAUAAUUUCAUCUUCUAACAAUUUUAAUUUCUACUCCUGUUGUUGCUCUGUUAGGAAAAGCGGUUUUAAUAGAUAUGCGACUAGUAUUGUGACUUCUCUAUGCCUCUUCUAUACUGAGUAUUGUACUGUUAUCAUUUUUUUUAAGGUAGCUUUCAGGACAAAAGUCUUCCACCCUAAUAUCAACAGCAAUGGAAGCAUUUGCCUUGAUAUUUUGAAGGAGCAGUGGAGCCCUGCUCUUACAAUAUCGAAGGUAGUUAUAUUUCACUCAAACGAUUUGCCUUAUUAGAAUCCUUUUCAACCUUGAGAAAUAGGUGAAGUGUCUCGCGGACUUCUGAAGUAAGGUAAUGAACAGAACUUACUCUUGUGUGAGAACUGAAGUUAUCAUUCCACGACUGUGGUAGCUGUGGUACAACUGGCAUCAGUGAAAAUCUGCUUUGUUAUGGAAAGGCUAAAUUAGUUGGCUCUUUAACUAUAUUGUUAACUGGUUGAUACUAUAUAUAUUUUCUCAAAGUAUAUGUUGUAGCUGUACUGUAUAUGAUAGUGAAAAUAAUUUACAUGUGAUGUACAAAAUUGUAGUUUGAACUUGAGGGAUUUUUGGUUGCUAAUUUUUGUCGGCUUGAAUCUUUGCUUUUAGUAUUAUCAUGCUGAAACAAUGAACGCCAGGAUGUGAAUAAAAGAACAAUCACAUAUGCAGUCAUUUGCAACUUUUAUCUGUCUAAACUCUCAAAAUUGAAAAGUUGUUGAACUGUUCACGUAUGAAUUCAGGUUUUGCUGUCUAUUUGUUCUCUGUUGACGGACCCAAAUCCAGAUGACCCUCUUGUACCGGAGAUAGCUCACAUGUACAAGACUGACAGGAGCAAGUAUGAGACAACUGCUCGGAGCUGGACCCAAAAAUAUGCAAUGGGUUAAACAUGCUUGCAUGCGUAUGGUAGGAGGGCUCCUUUUCC
rnacentral:lncRNA from 1 species